GACGAACCGUCCAAACGUUAUUCGGAAUUACUGGGCUUAAAGGGUGCGUAGGCGGCGCGGAAAGUUGGGUGUGAAAUCCCUCGGCUCAACCGAGGAACUGCGCUCAAUACUACCGUGCUCGAGGGAGAUAGAGGUGAGCGGAACUUAGGGUGGAGCGGUGAAAUGCGUUGAUAUCCUAAGGAACACCGGUGGCGAAGGCGGGUCUCUGGGCCGAUACUGACGCUGAGGAGCGAAAGCGUGGGGAGCGAACAGG
rnacentral:rRNA from 1 species